UUACUUCUGGGGUAUUUGUCAGGCUCUUAUUUUGAACCUACAGUUAAUUUACGGGAGUUCAAGUACCUAGAUGCAAGAUUGUCUUAUAAGUCCGAGAGGCCAGGACACAUAUGCAUCAGUGAGGACACCCACCUAUCGAGAGAUAGGUGUCAAAAGAAGGGCAACGGUAUUUUGGAAGUUCG
rnacentral:other from 1 species